rnacentral:tRNA from 2 species
GCCCUCGUAGUUCAAUGGAUAGAACGAGAAACUUCUAAUUUCUAGAUCUAGGUCCGAUUCCUAGCGAGGGCACCA